rnacentral:rRNA from 1 species
UACGGGGGGAGCAAGCGUUGUUCGGAUUUACUGGGCGUAAAGGGCGCGUAGGCGGCCACCGCAAGUCGACUGUGAAAUCUCCGGGCUUAACCCGGAAAGGUCAGCCGAUACUGCGGGGCUAGAGUGCAGAAGGGGCAAUUGGAAUUCUCGGUGUAGCGGUGAAAUGCGUAGAUAUCGAGAGGAACACCUGCGGCGAAGGCGGGUUGCUGGGCUGACACUGACGCUGAGGCGCGAAAGCUAGGGGAGCGAACGGG